rnacentral:rRNA from 1 species
CCUACGGGUGGCUGCAGUGGGGAAUUUUGGACAAUGGGCGAAAGCCUGAUCCAGCAAUGCCGCGUGAGUGAAGAAGGCCUUCGGGUUGUAAAGCUCUUUUGUUUGGGAAGAAAUCCCUAAGGAUAAUACCCUUGGGGGAUGACGGUACCAACAGAAUAAGCACCGGCUAACUACGUGCCAGCAGCCGCGGUAAUACGUAGGGUGCAAGCGUUGAUCGGAAUUACUGGGCGUAAAGCGUUAAGACGCGGUUGAAAUCCCAGAGCUCAACGUGGGAACUGCACUUGUGACUGCAAGACUAGAGUGUGUCAGAGGGAGGUAGAAUUCCACGUGUAGCAGUGAAAUGCGUAGAUAUGUGGAGGAAUACCAGUGGCGAAGGCGGCCUCCUGGGAUAACACUGACGCUCAUGUACGAAAGCGUGGGGAGCAAACAGGAUUAGAUACCCGUGUAGUC